rnacentral:misc_RNA from 1 species
AAGGCAAUGGACAUUCUUUAAUUCUGAAAAAUGCCACGGGGAACAACUUAAAAAAUGUUACUGCAGAAUUUCCUCUCGGAAAGUUUAUCUGUGUCACGGGCGUUUCAGGCAGUGGUAAGUCCAGCUUAAUUGCUGAAACGCUUUAUCCCAUAUUAAAUCAUCAUUUCUUCAGGGCAAAGAAAGUUCCGAUGCCAUAUAAGAAAAUUGAGGGCUUGGA